rnacentral:rRNA from 1 species
AUUGAACGCUGGCGGCAUGCUUUACACAUGCAAGUCGAACGGCAGCACGAGUGCUUGCACUUGGUGGCGAGUGGCGGACGGGUGAGUAAUACAUCGGAACGUAUCCUUAAGUGGGGGAUAACGCAUCGAAAGAUGUGCUAAUACCGCAUAUUCUCUGUGGAGGAAAGUAGGGGAUCGAAAGACCUUAUGCUUAUGGAGCGGCCGAUGCCUGAUUAGCUUGUUGGUGGGGUAAUGGCCUACCAAGGCGACGAUCAGUAGUUGGUCUGAGAGGACGACCAGCCACACUGGGACUGAGACACGGCCCAGACUCCUACGGGAGGCAGCAGUGGGGAAUUUUGGACAAUGGGCGCAAGCCUGAUCCAGCAAUGCCGCGUGAGUGAAGAAGGCCUCGGUGUAAGCUACUUCGUCGGAGAAUAGUCCUUGUGAAUAAUAGGGAGUAGAU